GAAUGUCUCUGGAAACUUUCGAAAUCGCCGCCGUCCAAGCUCUGUUGGCGCUGCAGGGAUCGAUCAGCUUCCCUCCGUUGAGUGAGAUGGGCAUCGCUGAAAUAAUCGCCGCAGAAGCCUUAUUACAGCUUCGGGGAAACGGAAUUCAGUGUCCUCCAAAGACUCCUACGUUUCAGGAAACAGAAGAUCUGGGUAUGUCAGAGAGGCCUUCUUCAGUAACAGUGGACGAAAGCAGUUCGUCGAAGACGACGGAGGAAGAAGGCCCAACGACGAGUCGUAAACGGACUCGCAGUUGCACUUCAGAGUCAUCAGACCAGAUUUUAAGUGACGAAACUGAGUUUUUACAUGCGCCGGAGCCAUUGGAGAAGAAUAUGAAUGUCUCUGGAAUCUUUCGAAACUUUCGCCGUCCAAGCUCUGUUGGCGCUGCAGGGAUCGAUCAGCUUCCCUCCGUUGAGUGGAGUCAUCAGGCCAGAGCGUAAGUGACGAAAGUGAGUUUUUAUAUGCGCCGGAGCUACUGGAGGAGAAUAUGAAUACAAUCGGCGAUGGAAACGCAAAAAUCCCAGUGAAAAUUUACACUUCCAUUAAGUGGAAUUCGUAUACGAUGGCUACCAGGAAACUAUCGACAGCCGUAUUUCCUCGACACAUUCUCGCAACACAUUUUUACUGGGAAACGGUCACCAGCGUCCCCCAACAGAAAGAGAAACUAGACUCCAAACUUGUCAAUGACAUUAUAAAAACUGUCGUGGACAAGUGUGGUGUAGCCGAAAAUAUUGUGAGGUAAAUUUUGUGUUUCAUUCAUUACUCGAUCAAUCCCAUGUUUAACUGUUAAGUCCGCUCCCGAUAUUUGUGCUUAAUCAAUAUGCGAACAUUUCUGUUUAUCUUAUUGUAUAUUAAAUUAGAAGAACAAUAAAAUAUAACAUAUGUAUUACGUUGCCAGAACGGCUAUCACAAACAAAUGCGCCGAUGAGAGUAAAAUGUUGCGUCAGCGGAAAAGCAUAAAAUAGAAGAUCAUGAUGAAGAAUAGGUAUUUGGGACAAGGGCUCGUCAACAGUCUUCUUGAAAAGCAAAAACUCGACCGAAAGAAAAAAUAAGUAUCUUUGUUUUUUUAUCGAGACUGAGUCUUGGUAUUGGACGACGACCCGCAGCACUAAAUAUUAACGUUGAAAGUAUCCACAUAUGUAGGUAAAUAACAUGUUCUUCAAUUAAGUGACAACCUCAGAGAUUAACCGCAAAGUUGAUUUAUAAAGAACACGUAGAAACGUCGAUGCAGAACUAAACCAACCUUCGUAUCUUGACGGCUCCUGCGACGGUGUAUGGGGCAGCGACCAAGCUGCGAGCGGCUCGAGCGGAAGCACGAUGCCGAGGACAACGCGAAGCAGCUGGAGCGGGACGUGACGGCGAUCUGCUUCGUGAUGGCAUCAUUGGCGGGUUAUCCAAUAUUGAAUCACCUCGAUGUUGUCGAUGUCGAGGACGUUGUGGUUGUGCAUACGCAAUUUAAUUUUUAAACUCUUGACUUUUUUCCAUAAAUACUUGAAAUUGUUAAACUCGAGUUUACGCUUACUAAUCUUUAGUUAUUUUAAGAAAAAAAUGCGCUGUGCUGCUCAACGAAAUAAAUGUGCCAAGUGGCGGAGCACUAAAAUGUGAACGACGAUCGUCGUUAGGCAAAGAACAGGAACAGUGC